CUCCUGUCCCCGCCCUGCCCCGCCCUGCCCUGCCCUGCCCGCGGUGGGGGCGUUGCGGGGCGGCGGGCGAUCUCGACGUGGCAGCCGGAGGGAGGGAGCCGUGACCUUCCUGCCCAGCGAGCGGCGGGGCUGCUUCCCCCCGUCGUGAGCCGCCUUUAAUUCGCUUCGUCUGCACCACCUCUCGGGUGUCGCGAAAUCUGGUCUCACAGUGUCCAAGGUUCCUGCAGGGGCUCUGGAGCACCUCCCCUAUGAGGAGAGGCUGGGAGAGCUGGGGCUCUUCAGCCUGGAGAAGGCUCCAAGAAGACCUUAUAGUGGCCUUCCAGUACCUGAAGGGGGUCCUACAGGAAAGCUGGGGAGGGACUUUUUAUAAGGGCAGGUAGAAACAGGAUGAGGGGAAAUUGCUUUAAACUGGAAGAGGGUGGUUUUAGACUAGAUGUAAGGAAGAACUUCUGUACUGUGAGGGUGGUGAGACACUGGAACAGGUUGCCCAGUGAGGCUGUGAAUGUCCCCUCCCUGGAAGCAUUCAAGGCCAGGCUGGGUGGGGCUGUGAGCAACCUGGUCUAGUGGGAGGUGUCCCUGCCUAUAGCGGGGCGUUGGAACUAGGUGUUCUUAAAGGUCCGUUCCAACCCAAACCAUUCUAUGAUUCUAUGAAAAUUCUUUCUUUAGAUAGACACUGAUCUAUACUGCAGGAUUAUGGAUGUCAGCCCUAGGAGCUGGCAUGGUUGGCUUCAUGAGGAGCUACAUCUUGGCCUUCUGCAGUGGGCACUGCUGGAAAAUAAUGGUGUGCCCCAUCUUUUCUAUUUGCUACUGUGCUUACAAAGAGUAUUGGCCUCUUGAAGUCUGGUAGAAAAAUAUCCAUUCUACAAUGAAAAUUUAAUGGGAUACUUGAAAUACAAAAUGUAAUAAAAUUUGCUUAAACAGCAGAAUGAUAGAUUAUACUGGUUUUGUAUGCUGAUAAUUUUGUUUGUAAGGUCAAUAUAUUUUUCAUACACAAAUAUUUAUAUAAUUUUAACUUCCUUAGUUUUUAGCAAAGCACUCUUAAAGUGCUCUUAAGUUCAGGGUUUUUGUUUUUUACAAUGUCACCCUUAAACUGGCAAUCAAGUGCUGGUUUUCUAAUGGAGUACAGUUUGAAAUGAAAGGAGUGGUAGCAACUGUUUUACUAAUAGACACUUAUAUACUUCUAGAAGAUUAAUUAAAAGCCAUUAUACUUUGUUUUCUCUGCUUUUAUGCUUCUUUCCAUGCUUUUAUGCUUCAGCAUAGACUAUGCACUUGUUUUGGAAAGUAUUAGCUGUUAUGAUACAGGCUGUUGCACAACUCAGCCACCCUAACUUGCCAAAUAAAUUCAUAUUAUGUAAGUAGUUUGUUUCUGACGUUGCCCUACAUAACAUGGGGUGACGGAAUAACAAACAUUGAAUCAUAGGAUUUGUCUGAAGGUGAAAGAGACCCGUAAGAAGCAUUGACUCCAGCUUCUGGCUCCACACAGGACCACCAAAAAUCAGACCGUCAUUCAGGAACAGCUGAAAGCUUUAUACUGAAGUUUUCCAGAAGUGUGUCCUGAGGCAAAUAUCCAGCGUGGAAAAUUCCAGACUGAACAAUUAAUACAUGGUUCUUCCGGAGUCCUAUCAGUUCAGUUUUCCUGUGUUUGGCCACCUGACCAAAUCAUUCCAGGCUCAUCAGUGCUAGCAGACGUCCCUCCAGCAGAUGGCAGAUACUGCUCAUCCAAUGCAACCCCGACACCCUGCUCAGCACGUCAGCCCUGGGACCCGGAACACCAAUAAAACAGGAGCUAAAUCUUUAAUGUACGUAUAUUUAAAAAUGAUCUUGAUUAAAGCACAGUUAAAGUCUGGCAUAUUUAUGUUUUUAUGCAGCGCAGAAUUUCUAGAUGUAUGUUUCUCUUUAUGAUUUCUUGGAAAAAAUACUUAUGCUAAGCAAAGAUAAGUGAUCUAGCUGUUAAAAACAAACUUUUCUUAGUAGGGUUUGUUUAUGGCAUUUGAGUACAAACAUUUCCUGUUACUGAAUCACACGAAUUGCUACUGACAAUGUAAAUUAAGAUUUGAAUUCUUUCAGACCAGAAUUCAAUUGGGUGUUUUUUUUAACGGGGGCAACUCAUACAAGCCUGGCCAAUAUAUAGCAAAUUUCAAACCCUGAUGUACUUCACAGUAACUCUUGAAAGUGAGUCUAUUUUUACUGUCAUUCUUCCUACUGUACUCAUUAAUUCCCUCUCUCCCUUAUUUAAGUCCAGAAAGUCAGAGGAGUUACAAUGAAGUUCACCUCAUGGUGUAAGAAGCUGACAGAGAACUCUGAUUUCAGUAACGUGUUUCAUUGUAUUAUUUCCUGUCCAUUGCUUAAGAGAAAUAUUCCAGCUGGAGAAAGACAGGGCAAAAGAAAUAGUAGGAGAUAGCUAGAUAUCUGCAGUCAAAAUUCUGUGACCUCUCUCGUACACUUUGAAUUAUUUUCCAUAUCUGAGCUGUGGUAUCAAAGCCCAUCCUCUGCAGGAAUUAUAUCCAUUUUCCUUUCUGUACAUCUAGACUUUUUUCAGGAGCCAUUCAGCUGAGAAAACCAGAACUAUUUUUGCUUGGGGUCCUUGGCAUGCUAUGCUAAGGGAACUAUAACAGUAUCAUGAUUUUUUUGAUUGAGGGUUUGAUUUUUUUUCUUUGCUGUCUGGAUCUUGUUGCAUGGUCAUCCAGGAGGCCAUUUCAUUCCAACCUUUUAUUUUAAGUUUUCUUCAUUAUUGUUUCUGAUCUUGUCUUCAGGACUCUCUUCAGAGAAUGACCAACUUCUGAAAGCAUAGAGGUAAUUCCUAGGCAGUAUCAUCACUCCUGAACAGAAAUGUUACUCUGAUGUUUAACAUAUAUAUUGAAGUACUCCACAAACACCUAGAAAUAAACAGAUCUGGAAAUUCUUAAUUCUGAUAAGAAGUUUCUUGGCAAAACUAGAUAAUAGCAGAUGAUGUUUUAUUUAUAUUAUUACUAUUGCUGUUACUACUGUGUGGAUAGAAGUUCUACCCAUGCUUACUGUUGAACCCAUUUCAUCCACCGAAAAUAACCACAAACAACUGUGAAGGACUUUUCCAUUGAGUAUCCAGCAUAAACUUGAAUGACACAGCAGCUGUUUAUGCUGAAGACAAUUUAAUCAGAAUAAGAGUUUCAGAAUUUGCUUUUGAAAUAAAGGUAUUUCCUCUGAGAUAUAUGCCAAAGGCUAAGAAUUGAAGCCAUGAGCAAGUCCUGUUUCCUCCUGCUUUGUAACUAGCAGGGAUGAAUAUCUCCAGGAUAACAUUUAACACUUUUCAAAGUCUUACUUUCAGGCCAGUGUGACAUAUGACAUUAAGUGUUUAUUAAUGCCUGCCUUCAGUAUGUAACGUUGAACUGCUAGACUUCAAAGAUGGAUAAGAAGACAAACAGCUUUUCUAUUCUAGGUUAUACGUGCAGUCAGAUGGGGGACUCAGGUGGCAGGGGAUACAUUGUUGAUCUUCUCGCAUCACACAGUUUCUUGUGCAAUAUGAUUUUUGUGAAGAAUUGGCAGCAAGUGACAACCCAUCAUAAAAUGCCUUCUCAGGAGCCAGUAUACUUGCAAAAUAUUUUCUUCAUUCUUCUAUACAUACUGUGUUGCUGUGUCAUCACUCUGAUAAGGAUCAGGAGAUUUGUUUGGGUUUUGGUCUGGUUUGUUAAGAGCUAAUUGUUGAGUGCUCCUUACUUUUUGUGUGUCUGGAAGGAGAGAAAGACAAAGGAAGGGAAAAAGAUAAAGCUUGAAUGCCUAAGCCCCUUCUUAUCUUCCCUUCUUCCCUCUUCAUUGCUGUAGGCAUUGGCUGUCUGAAACAUGAAUGUUUUCAUGCAUAAAGUAAAACAACAAUCCUCUCCUUAGAAUCUUGAUCUUAGGAGAGGUAGUUUUUCUUUCUUCUAGAAUGAAAACGUAUAAGCCUGAUGUGGCAUAAAUAGUGCUAUAUGUAACACAUUUAUCAUUCCUGCUCUGUUCAUCUAUACAGACCGAGGCAUGAAAGAAUAAAGCAGGAAAACAGCGGUAAGAAAGAGGAACUAUUGAGGUUUAAAUCUGAUUUAGCACUGCUGGCAGUUCUACUCUGUGGGAUUACAAUCAGCAUUACUUUACAUAAAUUUGCUUACACUAUCUGAUUUUUAAAAGUAACUUGGAAAUUGGCUGUGUCCUGGACUUUUGAUUUAGGCGUGGGAUCUCCUAAGCACAAAGUUCCUCUAUCCCCGCAUUGCUGGAACUUUAUGUACAGUAUUUCCCAGAUUGAGUAUACACAGGAGCAAGGAGUGGUGGAGAAAGGGCAGUCUGAGCCCUGUUGUGAUUUAGCACAAGUAUGAAAAAUGCAGUCUGAAUCCAGUUGGAUGUAGUAGGAGAGGGAGCACUCUUGUCGCAGUACCCGAGAUUGCAUAGAGUUGGGCUUGAGUUUCUCAGCCGUACUGCAAAGCACUGCAAUCAUCAGACAACCACAUUCCCUUCCACUGGUAGCUCCCAUGGGAGAUAGGUACCUGAAAACUUUGAAGGUCUGCGUCUACUGUGUCAUCAUCUUGGUUUCUCAAAAUCUUCCCUGGAUUCUCUGUGCAAAUACAGAGUGCUUCCUCUUAAUAGUUAAUUUUGUUUGAAUCUUUAAGACUGUAGCUCCUUAUAGUUACUGUGUUGUACAAGCAGCUAUAUAAACAUUUGCUGUUAUUAUUUAAUGUUUUUCUUUUUCCUUUUCCAUUUGAUCUUCUCCCAGAUUAGACUGCAAGUCUCUUAGGGCAGGGACAGCAUCUAGUUGAAUUUCUGCAGGGCCUGCUAAAAGCAGCUUCAUAGGUUUCUAUGGUUCCAUAUAUAUAUGACUGAAGAUGUAGACAUCUGGACCGAUGCUCCUGCUAGGGGCCAAGUGCUGCCAUCACUUUCUGCAAGAGCAUACAACAAGACCUCCCAGCACCCUCACAGAGGAGAGAGAAGCUCUUCAGAAGAACCCUGAACCAGAACACAACAGCAGCAUUACUUCAUUGAUGAGACAACACAAUUAAUCAUAGUGUGGAAAUGCUUGUUUGGUGAACACAAGCAUCAGUCAGAAGGUCCCGAGCCUUCAUGGAGGUGGCUUUCAUCUCCACUCAUCCCAGCAAGGCUGUGCAUUCCUGUCACAGAAGAUCCCUGACACUGCGGAUGGGAAAUCCUUUCUGAUCCUGUCAGAUUGUCUGGGAGAAAGGUGCUGGUGAGAAGCAGUUUGUUUGUAGGGUGAGAGUUUGGAGAACCAGCAUCAGUCCCGAAGUGCUGAAGGUUUCUGCAUAUCCUGGUGGCCUGCGGUCAACCCUGGAGAUGCAGAGGCUCAUCCCAACUGCAGUGAAAUGUCCAUGACCACUCACAGGGAGCUGGAUCAGGAGGCCAAUUUAGCAGAAAACCAGCACUGGAAAAUGCAAACAGUUGGGUGCUGGUUUAGCUCUCCAGCCUCAUUCAUUGUUGAGUAGCAAAGAUAAUCAGUACAAGAAAAUGUUUGAGAGAAAUUUGGAAGGUGUGAUAGGAAGGUGUCCUUGUCCUUUUAAGCAGCAGCUGGCCAGAUGUGCUGCACAGAUGCUGAGGCAGUGGAGAAGCUGAAGCACCAUCUGUCACUCUACAGGGGAUUCCAUUUGUCUGGAACAUAGGGAUCAUAACUCCCUGUCCUCCUCAGCCUGCCCCUCGAACCAGGCAGCAGGAACACUUGUCCAUUCCUGUGCUAUACAGACAACACACAGUUUUUACCUCAGUACAACACACUGUGAGAAAAAUAGCCCCAAAUUGUGUUCUUUUGCAUCUGCUGAAUGUAGAUCUACGAAUCCAUCGCUCCUGCCAUCUGUGCUUGUCCAAGAGUCUGGUAAAACUGGCAUUGGAAUUCUCUUCCUAGAAUGGAAAGACAUGUGGGGUCAUUCCUAUAGCUAAUAAGGUGGAUAAUACUCAAAAUUAUGUCUACCAUUAGUGGCUGGACCACUAGUAAGUAACGCAGUAUCUUUAACCUUCCAACAAUAAACAUGAUGGAAACGGACACUUCCAGAAAUCCUUGUGGGGAAUUAUAGGCUCCCUUAAGAUGAGCUGAGGAGAGAAAAAUAAAAUUGUGCCUGAAGAAGCAUGACACAAAGAAAACCAGAUGAACCUGAAGUCCACUGAAAAUAUGUAUGCUGGUCCCCAUUUUGGAUGCAGCCAAUGGAUGCCACCAAUACCCAAAAGACCUUCCUCACAUUCCAGCUCUCUGAAGGUGGUGCCCUCCUACAGGCUCUGAAAACAGCCUGCCUGGGCCUUUGGAGUCAGCUUCCGUGCUCCUGACACUCACAGCUCUGUUUACAUUGCAGGAGGAAUAUUGAGAACUAUAUUUGGUAUUCAGUGUUUCCAUACUAAUAGAGUUGUCUAGAUGGCCACAACUCCGCACAAUCAUACUGCUACUGUUUCCUCAUCUACUGAUGGCACUCAUGCUUUCUUCCAUUUCCAGGAUCCUCUGGCACCAACUCCUGCGUGCUUCAUCCUUCUGUCCCUCUCUACCCUUCACUUUCUUGAUCCCAAUACUCCAGCUUCUCCUUAUGCAACUGAGAACAAAGCUAUAAAAAGAAGAUAUUUGUUUCUAUGUAAACUCUGUUUUCAAAGAUAACCAACCAACCAACCAACCAACCAAAAAAACAACCACCUUUAGUACUGCAAACUUUUAAAUCUUUUAAAAUAUUUCAGUGCCUGACAUUGAAUCUACUUGCAUUUAAACUUAGGGUAUGUGCAUGGGGGUGGAGUACUGUUCUGGUACACAGAGUUAGUAACAUAAACAAAGAGAAACCAACACCAGUGGGACAAGAACAAACCACAGCACAGUCCAGAGCAACUCCACUUCGUACUCUAUUUUGUAAUCCCUAACUUUUUAUCUUUAAUCUUGUUUCUAAAUUCACUUAUUCAGUCGGCAAGUACUUACACUUUUCAUAGCUUUCCACAUGGAAGACACAUGACUGAAAGUUGGGGGCUGAGGCCCUGAUCCUUUGACACUUACCAUUGGGUGUUGAAGAGGUCCCCAGGAUCUGCAAAAAGUGCAUGUUUUACAGGACUGUGAUCCUAAAAUGUAGGAGCUUCAGCAUAGGGCACGUGUUUCAUUUGUUUUGAAAAUGCUAUGGUGUUGUGCAGUUAAAUAGAAGUGAUGUGUGAUAGUGGUCAUAGCAUUGCUAUUCAUGAAGUAAUCGUGGUCAUGUUUUCCUUAAAAAGUUGUAUUUAACCAAUACCCCUCAUUACAUUAUGCUGUAACUUCUGACUGUGUUCUCAAAGUGAUACCCUGUGUAAGAAGUUUUCAGUGCCUCUUUUCAUUCUUUACAUAGUGGCAAUAAAUUUUGGCAACUCUAAAGAGCAGAACUGGUACCUCGAAAGCAUUAGAAAGGCCAGCACUACCUACACAGGCAUGCCAUUGCAUGAAGGCCUGGGCUGUCUUUGUUCUGUAAGUUAUGAGCUCAUAUGUCAACAUGGGAAAACAGAUGUUUAAAUGAAAAAAAUAAAGAAAAUGCAGAAUGAGGAAUACAUCCAAGUUCCUUUGGCAUUUGUUCAGGUGUUUCACGGACUGAGCUAAUGGUGAUCCUGUGGACUGGCUGAUUAUCAUUGGAGUCAGAUGAUCUUGUUGUAACUGUAAAAAGAAAAAAGCAAUUUUACUCAAUGCAUACAUCUUUAAUUCACUGCUGUGCUUAAUUAAAAUAGUCUUUUGCUGUCUAUUAUGAGAAGGUUAGAAGUUAAUUGACAGAAUGCACUUAAUCAUUUUCUGUGGAAGAAAAAAUUGUGUCAUCAGGUGGUCCUCUGUGCAAAAACAGCAGCACCUCCUGCACAUUCAGUGCAGACAUUAUGCUCAGCCUUCAAAGCUCUGUAAAAUCAUUUCACAUUUUGUCCAUUGAUGAACCCCUUCCAGACCCAGCUUUUACUUACCCAUGAAUGAAGUGUUGCCAUGAUUAUUUUUUUGCUUCAAGAGACGCAUCCUUUUGUCGCCUUCAUUUCCUCCAUCUGAUCCCAUGUUACUAGCUACUCGUAAGUUCAUGGCCCAUGGUGUGACAUGCCAUGUCUCUGUCUACGAAACCAACAUAUUCCUAAAGAGUCAAUUUUAAUAGGCAUUUUAUUUUCAUCUUCCCAUGGACUAUUUUUCCUUUGUUGCCUUAAGCUGAUAUGUUGCAGGAUGAUUCACAUACUUGCUUUCUCUGACUGGAAUGUAAAGUAUUCAGUUAGAUAUCAAAUAAUACUUUUUCUUCUCUUGCUCUCAGCUUUAAAGAACAAACAGAACUUUCUAUCUCAAGGAAUCACUUUUAUUGUGACUUUGGGACCCCAUUUUGCCAGUUCCUGGUUUUCCUACACUUCUCUCAGACAACAUUCAGGUAGUAUCUCUCUAUGUUCAAUGGAACAUUUUGCUAGAAAUUUAUAUUAAAGCCAUCAGUUAGAUUCCAGUCUUCAGACUGGAGAGUUUCUGCAGCAAACCUUGCUGUGUUUUUUGAAAGCUGUGAAUCUACUGGCUGCAAAGGGUGGUUAAUUGCCUGUGCUAUCUUAAAAUUUAUGCUGAGGAAUUGGUUAGGUACAUUUACCAAAUGUAAUAAUAGAAUAAUCUGAUAAGGCCUCUCUCGCUGAACUGUUUGCCAAAAGAUGUGUUUAUAGUAUUACUUCAACAUUCUUGCAUUUUAUUAAUUUCAUUAUUAAGUCAUUUUUACCCAAUACAAUUCAUCAUGACCUUAAAAUGAAAUGAAAACAAAUGGUGCCAGAAGUAAAAGUCAACAAGGAAAGGAUGAUACAUGGCUUUCAUCCAUUUGUCCAGAGAAAUAAGAUUAAAGGCUAGGUUUUCAGCUGCUCUAAAGCUGUGCUCAGCCCAGCUGGGAGGGGUGGGGGAGCGUGGCUGUGAGCUGCAUUGUCUCUUCUGCCUGGGAAAAUACAGUUUCCAGAGAAACUGGGAGUUAACAUCUAUUAGACCAGCCCUGCACCUCACCAUGCCUACUAGUAGCACACUGGUCUUCCCAGCUUCCUAAUUUCUUGGUUUUAGUUUGUGUCUCCAGCUUGAGAGCAUCCCUUUCAUUUUUGCCAGCACCUGACUGGCCUCAUCUCCUGGCAGCUGUCAGUGCCAAGAUGGCCCUUCUCCUCUGGACCUGGGGCAGAAAACCAGAAGCCGGCAAAGAUUUGGUCUAAAAAGAGAGUAAUGGUAACUGAUUUACCAACUACAUCUAAAUUGUCUUCAGAACCAUGUCCACAAGGUCUCCUCCUCUCUGUCUGCCCAAAGCCUUUUAGAGAAUUGUUCUCAGUUGGUAUACAACUGUUUUAAAACUUGGUACUUGUUUCCUUGGGCAUGUGAUUCUUAUCAAUAGGUAUUCAUGAUGAACAGCCCAAUGCCACCCAGAAAGCAGCUGAAGUCACAUAGCAGUUUCUGUUUGGAGAGGUGGCAGCAUUAGAAGCUGGAGCACCUCUCCUAUGAGGAAAGGCUGUAGGAGCCAGGCUUGUUCAGCCUGGGGAAACAUCACUGCGUCCUUCUAAUACUAAAAGAGAGCUUAUGAACAGGAGGGAAACUGACAAUUUACAUGGGCAGAUAGUGAUAGAACAAGAAGGGACAGUUUUAAGUAGAAAGAGGGAAGUUUUAGGUUAGAUAAUAGGAGGAAAUAUUUUACUCAGAGGGCGGUGAGGCACUGAUACUUGCUGCCCAGGGAAGCUGUGGAUGUCCCAUCCCUGGAGGCGUUCAAGGCCAGGAUGGACGGGGCCCUGGGCACUGAUCAAGUGGGAGGUGUCCCUGCCCACGGCAGGGGGGGCUGGAACUCCUUGGGGUCCCUUCCAAUCUGUUCUAUGAUUCUAUGAUUAGAAAACCAGACAGGAUUGGACAGUCUGGCCAGCCAGGAUGUGUGCUGGGUGGAAGCCUUCUUUCAGUUCAAACCUGGAGUGUCGUUCCUUCAGAAUACCUGGAAUGGUGAACUAAUGAAGGUCAAAGUUGCAAGAAAUCUCAGCUUCACCCUCCUAUCAGGGAAUAAAGGCUGGCCAACAGGGUGCUCCAGCCUGCUGGGAGAGAUUGUUCCUCUUCUGUUGCCAUAGAUAAUCCAGCACACAAAGACUGUAUUGAGGAUGCGAUUAGUUCUUAAGUGCUCAAAGAUGUAAAGCACUGAAAAGCUACUCAAACACCAGUGUGAAAGGAUUUAUUCCCAGGUAGCAGAGAAUGAAGAAAUAAAGUGCUAAUCAUCAUCUAAGGAUGAAAUCGAUCUUAUCUCAAGAAGAAAAAGUAAAGAGCUUUGCUGGAGGAAAAUUCCAAGAUGAAUCCUUUCUCCUCCCACCUGAAGGGCAGCUGUAUACUGAUUUACAGCACAGUCAGAAAAUAUUUUUAUGGAAAAAGCCCUCAUGUAACAUGGCUACGGGAUUCAAAAGAAAGCUGUGGAUUUCUCUAUGCUACUUACUCUUUUUCAGCUCUUCCUUUUUUAAAGUGGAAUUGUACAAUUUCAGCUACUCCUGGAGACUCUCUGGUCACGGGGUGAAUAGGGUUUGUGUUUCAACCUAAAUGAUCUCAUAUAAUAAACUACUAAAAGCUGGUUUUAAUAAAAGAAUUAGAGAGAAUGAGGCUGCUGACAGACAACUUGAUGAACCUUCUCAAAUUUCUUUUAUAGUAUUGAUUUGGUUCCAGUUUCUCAUUUACAACAUUUACUUGUUGUAUACAUAAACCAUUUCUGAAAUAGUUGAAGUCUUCCAGUUAGCCACACAACCCAAAUGCAAAUUCCAGAGCUCUGUUUUCAACAAGAACAUUGCAGUAGAUAGAAAAAGCAGUGAUGUCAGAGAUUUAAUAUGACAAAGAAGGAACAGCACACAAAUAAAGUUUGAAGAACUUUGGCAAGACCAUAGUUAGUAAUACCACCAAAGAAGCCAGCACUGUACAUAAAAGUGAAGCAGCCAGAGCUGUUGGGUCUGGUUUAUUGACACUAGAGAUAUGCAUCACCUAUGAGUAUGAAAAACUGGAUACACGCCUAAGCUAGGCAACAUUUCCGUGACAGAUAGAGAAGAAGAUCUUUAAAGAAAAUAUAAAAAAGGAUAAGCAGGAGAUGUUUUUUUUUUCCUUGGUAGGUUGGUUAUUUUCCUUCCAACCUUUGGCAAUCAAAAUUCAGAUCAACUGCAGUGUAAGUGGUAAAGGCACCUGAAGGCAUCUCUCUGUAAGAGGACAUCACUCAAGGAAUGUGUUUCUCCUCUUUCUAGGGCAUAGUGGCAUAUUUAAUUUUUAAUACGGAGCUGUGGGUGAGAAAAAGAGAAUCAGAUCUACCUUCAGUGUUCAAGGGUAAUAUUUAUUUUUAUUUAACAAAUGCUAUUUAUUAAAGUAGCUGGUAAUGAGAUUCAGAUUGAUAAUAAAGCUGAAAUAAUAUUCAGUUUUUAUAUUGACUGGAAAAUGGGAAAGGCAUCUGUGCACAGAUCACUUUGCAGCUAGAUCUUAAUUACGGACCUUGAGUGUUAACCUUUCUGUGUUCUACUUCAUGUUAAAAUGGAGUGUUAUUUCCCAAACACUUCAAAUAGGGUAACAGAGCUGCAAAUGAAAUUAGCAAUCCUCUUAUGUAAUCUCAUUGAAUGACACCUUAGAGAUUUCAAGGAAGAUGCUUGGAAACCGUUCCAUUAUUGUAUACAUAUACAUGUUAAUCGAACUUUUAUUUGCUUAGAAAACUAAAUGAAAAACAGUAGCUUAAGAUAAAAGAUCAAAUUAACUACUCCCUUGAGAAAGAUUUUUCCUUAAGCAACUUUAUUAAGCCUAGAAAUAACAGCAGUUUUAACAAGCUAAUGACAAAAAAAGACACACAGAGACAGAUCCUGAGGCACAGGAGCAUGGAGAGCUGACAUGCUGGUGGACUACUGCGGUAUUGGUAUCGGCAGUGUUUUAGUCCCAUAGAUUCAGUGAUACUAAAAUUUAAUAAAAAUACCUUUUUCUCCCCUCAAAGUUAUUAUCUGUCCAUUCAAGAGCAUGCUUUACUCUUACAGUCCUUGGGAUGACAAUAGCAGCAGUUAAUCAACAAACCAUCAGCACUUAUAAGGUAUUUCUGCACAAACAACAGCCACUCAUUUAAUGGCUUUUACAAUACCCUAUGUGCCACCUAGAUUUUAUGUAAAUCUGCAGGGGUUGCACCAGGAGUAGAGCUUGGUCUUGAGUAUUCCACUUUUCCAGCUGGCUGUCAAGCAGCAGGCAGCAGGCAGCAAGCACUGAAGCAUGGACACAGCAGCUGUGGGUCCAACUCAACUGGCGGUGCAUGUAUGGAACUCCCACAGUUGUUGGAAUCUUGACCUGACAAGAGUGGUCUAUGUAACCUCUCCCAGCUACAGAAGAGGAAUUUUAGCUUUAAGCCAUCUUGGAAAGAAAACAAAACCUACAACAAACAAAGAACGACCUAAGAAGAGUAAUUAUAUGCUAGCAACAAACUGAUCACAGGAGAAUUUCUUGCAUAGAAUAGAGGCAAUCUUUGGAAUCUCAUUGUUCCAAAUCUGCUCUCCUCAAUGGAUGGAGCUAGAGCAAAAACCUUAAAGGGUAUUUCAGAAAAUCUAUGCAUUUCUUCUCUCUGCUUGAUAUUUUGAGACAGAGAAAAUGGGGAGCAGUUGCUGGAAAAUUGGAAUGGUAUGGCCAUAAGGCACUGAGUAAGCAGUUUCAUCUACAUAGCAUAGAACAAAGCCAUAAAAGAUACUCAUCUGUGUGCUGAAAGCAGAGGACAUGUCAGUGUGGCACUGCACUUGUGCAGCUGCUGUGCCCUGGCUCCAAGCUAGGUCACUGCUGCUGGCACAAGGCAUCUCGCUCCACAGAGCAGAGUAGAAAUAAACCUGAGAGCACAGCAGAACACCUGACCAGAUUUUUAUGACCGUGGGCUGAUGUUCAGGAAAAGGCUCUAAAGGAAACUUCAGGUUCCUUUUCAGCAACACUGGAGACAAAUAUAUUGCCUUGACUCAAAAGGCGUCUUGGGCACACACUCAUAAAGCCUCUGCCUUUCCAUGUAGAAAAAAAACCCCACAAAUCAAGAGGAAAUAAUUAUGCUGAAUUGAUUAAAAAAUAAAAACAACCCAACGAGCAAAUUGUGGUUCGUAUUUUGGGUUUGAGUCAUUUUUUUUUUUUUUGUUGGUUACAUACGUCAAUUAGAUGAGGGUUAGGAGGUUCUUAUUGGAACUGCUGAAUAUCUUGUGUUACAGCUCUGGAAAAGUUCCUUGUUUGUUUGCCACUGUUUCCAGCUCAAUAUUAUGGUGUGACAGAUGGAUUCAAUAACAGAAGUUGGCAAUCAAGAGAUGUGAACCACGGGGUGUGGGGGACUUAACUGUUACCAUGGCUUGUGAGGGACAAUAUUAUUUCUUAUAUGUCAAUAGCUUUUCUAGGGGGCAGGAAUUGGUUACCUGGCUUAAAAGGUGCACCACUGUUGUUUCUGGUCUCACUGCUCUUGGGAGUGACUGACCUUCUCAGUCCCCUUGGAAGCUGGAGAAUGUCUAUAGGUUUACAGCUUAAUCUCCUGGUCACUCAUCUCAGUGUGUGGGGAGAAGGAUGAGGGGGGUGGGAGGCAUCCUAUCCAGUCUGCAAGCUGCUUCUACCUAAUGCUCUCUCUAAGUGUCAUGAUUGUUGAUGUCUGUCAUCCUGGGCCUGACCUCCUUUGUAUGCUUCUGGAUGUAUUUGGGCUCUUGUCUUCCCUGGCUGGAAGCUUAUAGCUGCUGGUGACAUGUCAGCCUGUAUGUGCUCUCUGUUCUUGUGAGCUGCCUGAACUGCUCCAGCCUGAACUGCAAAAGAAGUCAAAUCUUCAGGACUGUACCUGUAUCAACCAACACUCCCAGAACAGCCUGGGACUGUGCAGGUGCAGUAGGGUAACAGGACAGGGCUCCAGCUGGUCUGUGUUCCACACCUCUGAGCCAUCACAGGACCAGAAUAAGAGGAUGUUCUUAAGGCACUUGUCUCUAAAAACAAUAUUGCUUUCUUAAUAAACCAGAAUCAGUUUACUGAACUCUCAUGUAUUCUCUGUGCAGGACAUGAUCAAGAAGCAUACUUUUAUGUAUCACCUACUUCUUCUUACCAAAGAGAGCACUUUAGUUCUUCAUUCUGUGUCACCUGAGCAGCUGUUACUACCUAAGCAGCGUGCAGCCCCCAACAGCAGAACUAAAACAACAUUUAUUUUCUUUAGAAAGAGUAGCCGCUGAGGCUACUUUAAGGAAAAUAGUCUCUGAAGUUGUGGAACAGAAAGGUCAACAUCUAAUUUAGAAGAGCUUGUGAUCCUUAUAGAAGCCUGUUUCUGUUCCAUAGUCUUUUAUAUUCAGCCAAAUUUGAUGCAGUUACAAAGACCCUGCAGAAACACUCCUGCGAUUUGUUGUUGUUGAGAUACUGACUAUCGAACUGUUCCUUUUGACUUUGACGUGAACAAGCAAAAAUUUCAGCUAGCACAGCAAACUCUCUGUGUGAAGCUCAUCUGAUCUGUGUUGUGCUGCUGCACGCUAUGUGAUGUGAUUAUCAAAAAUCUGCAGAACUGCUGACCACUGGUUCACUGUUAACUAGGAAUAAUAAGAGAGAUCUUAGAGUUGUACAGGAGAGGUACAAGGACACUCUAGGGUCUGGGAAUCGAUUCCUCCUACUCCAAUGCAGAUGCAGACUGCUUAAACUAGAGGAUAGCAUUCCUCUAACAGUCAGCUCUCCCUUUUCCAUGAGUUAUCUCGUCUACAGGUUACACAUGCCAGUACAGAGGAACCUUGGCCAGCUCCGUGCUUUACAAAGCCAUAGUGAGGUUAGGAUGGCAGCAUGCAUCCCACAUGCCUGGUGCAGGUACUGAUCUUGCAAGCCUUGCAAGCUGUGCCUUGGACUGCAGUGAGAACAGACUAUGUCAUCAUGUGAAGGUGGUCAAACCCUUAAGGACUGUCUGUAAAGAGUGUUAUCAUAGGGUCUAGAAAUUCUGGGCACAGCAUUUGCAUGAGCAGUUCUGCAGGCUGGUGUCCUGAUUAAACUCAUCGGGCUUGUAUAUAGUGACCCUCUCAUCCCCUGUAGUGAGUCCGAUGGCACCAUACCUGAGCUAGGAGUGCUGGUGGUCCUGCAUGUACAAAGCAGAGCUGCUGUACCCAGUGUGUUGUUUUGAGGAAUAUAGAGAUCAACAGCACAGUGUGCCUGAAGUAGAUGUUAUAUUUAUUGGACAUAGUCUCAGUGGGCACUUGCCAUCAAAGAGUCGUUUAUACUUUUCUUUUUCUGAUGUUUUGGCAUUCCAUCUUCAAACUGGUAAAUAAUUCUCUUGUGAAAUGUGAUGAUAUUAGUAUCCACUUGUAUAAGCGCAUAUUGUUUAGAGGAGGUGAAGGAAGAGAUGUAUUAUUUGGAGGGAGGAUAACUCGGGCAUCAGCUCAGGAUAGGUGCCCAACACAUCUUGAGAGUCCAGUGCUGGACUUGGAAUCCAAUGUCACAAAGGCAUAUGUGUAUAUAUGUCCAUAGGAGAGACAGAAUCUGCUGCUCUCCAGAAUCAAGCAGGUUGCUUCUAAAUGCCACACAGGAGCUCAAGUGAUAGGGAGGACUCAGGGUGUACUUUCCCAGCUUAACUUGGUCACUUGUACUGGGAGAAGGCAGAUUUUCUGAAACUAGAGAAGUAUUUUUAAGUUAGAAAAUCUUCAGGCUACAUUUGUUAGAUGAAGGCAUUAAAGCCAUCAUUUCUUCAAAUUUCAUGCUCAUGGCUCAUUCCUGAAAGCACUAACAUCUUUAUUCAUUAGCUUGUUCACCACCGAUUGAGUGGCCAUAGCCGGCUGGUUGUUUCUUUCCAUUGCCACAGCCCCUUCUCCUGCUGUGGGAGUCUGGAUUUACCCUGGAAGAAACUGGCUAAGAGCUAGCAUGCAUUUAAAUGUGUAUUCCUUGAGAUGCAGUGAAACAGCAUGCAACAAACUAAAAGCACUUUCGCAUAAGCUGUAGCAAUAUCAGCUGCUAACAUUCCAGAGCCCUUCACUUCUCCAGUCAAAGGUGCCUACUUAAAUUGCUAAUUAGCUUUCUCUUGUUAUAAUUUUUCUGACUUAAAAACUCUACACGAAAGCAUUUUUUCAGGCCUGUUCCAGUUGCCAUAGCAUCCAUCACUGCACGGUCCUGCUUGUCUUCUGCCCAUUUCAUUAUCAACUAUAACCAUAACGUUUUGAGAAAAAGAAUAGUUUUGAAUGAAACACAGAAUACAAAAUAAGAAGGCCUUAAUAAAGGCUCAAAUAAAUCCCUUAUCUGGCAGCAUACUGAAAGUAUCUUGAUUCCUGGCGCAGCAAAUACGCUGUGGAGCUCACUCUUCAUUAAAAAGCACAGGCAACCACAGUACCAGGAUGUGGGCAGUCUUAAAGUCUAAUGUGUACAUUUAUGCAGAUACAGUCUUCUGGGAACCAGCUUGUUUUAAUCAUAAAAGAACCCUUCAAGUAAAUUUAAUGAGGAGUUAGUUGAGGAAUUUAUUCUGAAACUUUAAACUAUGUGUAAAUUCCUGAGGAUCAAAUUAAGUUGAAGGUAAAUAAUAUUCAGAAUGGUGUUUCAGUUAAGGCUGCCUAAAAGCUGGAGACACAAAGAUCCUGCUAAGGGAACAUUGCUUUUCCAGUUAGAGACUUCUUUAAGGCACCCAGACAGAUGCCAUAUGCUGAUGGUAAAACAACAUCUUUCACAAUGUGACAUUUGGAGCCUGCUCAAGAGAUCAGUCAUUUUUGUCUUUUCUAAGGUUGCCACCUUUAAAAUAAAUGCCAAACAGUUAUGAACUAGAAAAAGAGUAAUUGCCAAUAGUUAUAGGUGUCAUCAGUGAUGAAACAUCCCUAAGCAGAUGUUUUGCUUUACAUGCAGGGAAGUUCAGGAUAAAAAAUCCACAACACUGUGCAAAGGACAGCUGCGUCAAGGAUGCUUUGAAAAACAUUUUCUCAUGGAUUGUGAUGAUGUGCCUUCUAAAAGAUAGGAGGAUCUUGCUUAAAGUUCUCCUUGUCUCGAUGAAAUGAUGCUUGAUUUACAUUCUUUGUACAUUUGAAAAGAAUGGUAAACUUGAGGUAUUUGUUUAAUAAUUCGCCUGUUGGGUCCCUUUAUUUAUUGGAUGAUCUGAAAUAUAAUUACAGGUAUGUUAGUGGAAAAAACACACACACGUGCUUUCACGUGAGCACAAUACCUUUUGUUUACCUCUCAUUUUUCUGCUUGUGGUGGAUUAUGCCCCUGGAUGGCGUUAGCAAUAUACAUUUCCUGGUGUUUCCCAGCUGGACAUUGUCAUUUAAAGCACGAUUCUUAAACAAAGAAAUAUUUCCUAAUAGUGUCAUGAAUGCAGGAUACAGAUUUUAUGCAUAUCUGAUUGGAAAAUAUGUGGAACAUAUAUGGUCUGAGUCUUGGUCUUAUCUUUUCAUGAGUAUUUUUGCAGUGUUCAGAAACUUCUCAAGCAUAUUAGAGGACAAAAAAAAAAAAAAAGAAAGAUGCCUCCAACCUAAAUAAGAAGAAACCCCCUAUCCUUCAAACACGCUGGGGUAGCUAUUUAAGAAAUUACACAGAACCAGUAAGCUAGUCUAUACAGCGCUAAAGUCCUAGUUUCAGAGUAGGUAGCAGCAUGGGAAAGAAGAACCACAGAAGGAGAAAGUGUUGGCUCAAGAAGAUGUUCCUGUUGCGGUUCCGUGGAAAAUAGUCUGAAUAAUUAUUUCCUUUAUUUUGUCUGGAAUCUCGCAAAUUCUUAUACAGGUGAGCAGUUUUAUGCACGAGUUGUUCAUUCCAUUCAAGACACAAAUACAGAUAUGUCUAUAAGAUUGCCACCUUAAACUUCAUGAGCUUGUUCCUGUUUUGUGUGUCACUUCACACUCUAGUGAGCACCAGUAAAAAUUCAUGAAGGUAAAGUAUGAGGAAAAUCACACCAUUUGAUUUGGAAGGGUGUAGAAUCAUAGAAUAGUUAGAGUUGGAAGGGACCCUUCAAGGUCAUCUAGUCCAAAUCCCCUGCAAUGAGCAGGGACACCUACAGCUAGAGCAGGUUGCUCAGAGCUCCUCCAGCCUGUCCUUGAAUGUCUCCAAGGACGGGGCAUCCACCACUUCUCUGGGCAACGUGUUAACAGUGCUUCACCAACUUCACCACCCUUCACCUUCCUUAUAUCCAAACUAACCUCUCCUCUUUUAGUUCAGAACCAUUUCCCCUUGUACUAUCACCACAGACCUUGUUAAAUUCUGUUCCCUUCCUUCCUACAGCCCCUCUUCAGAUACUGAAAGGCUGCUACCAGGUCACCUCAGAACCUUCUCAUCUCCAGGUUGAACAGCCCCAGCUCUCUUAGCCUGUCCUCAUAGUGAAAGUGUUCCAUCUCUUGGAUCAUUUCCGCGACCCUCCUCUGGACACUCUCAACAGAUCCACGACUCUCCUGAAACUGAGGACUCCACAUCUGGGCCCUGCUCUCCAGAAUAAAUCCAAGAGACAGAGCUCUAAGAACAGGGAGAGCCCUGCAGAAAUGCAUGACUGAAAGGGAUGAUGAGGAAACACAGAAAAGUGGGACUCAGAGUGUAAUGAAUGCUUGAGGUACAGAAAGGUUCUUGUUAUGAAAGUUUCUAAUAUGGAUCUAAGCACUGUAUAGAGAUCAACGAGAUGAGCGUCACAAUUCUGGAUACUCCUAUAGUAAAAGGCAGUCAAAAGGAAGAUAAUUUAAAGUGCAAUAGAAAUACUUGUGGAACAAAAAGGUUUAAAGGAUAUACUACGUUUCCAGAGAAGGCAGGCAUCAGAUGAUCAGAUCCAGUUAUGAAACAGAUAGCUUUCCCCACAGAGAGCUUUGAGCUUUUGUCAGA
ensembl:lncRNA